GGUCUCUUCCUUGGCUGACACGGCUGCUGUUUAGUUUAGUUUGUUUCAGACAUAUGACUGAUUACUGACUCUACUUGUUUGUUUUGUUUAGUUAAUGUUGUCCUUCAAAUAAAUGUGUUUUAUUUUGAGCCAGGUUGUAACACAAUAUAAGGCGAUGAAAGCCCAAGAAAACGUUGAUUGUGAGUCUGGCUGUAUGAAAAUAUUCUGACAUCUCGGCGGCCUUUCAGGAACGGUAUCCUGCCAAUGAAGACUCUGAAAAGGAUGUGCAGCAUGGCGUCGUGCAGAGUCAGGUAGAACAUUGACGACUGAACUUCGUCGUCAAAGAAGCAACAGUCAUGCAGUUUCUCCAGGAUGUAAGCUACAGCAGGAGUCCCUUCAGAGCGGAGAUGUCCAGAAAGGAGACGGCGGCAAAGUCCAGGACCAGGCUGUGGACGUCCACUCUGGGAACAACGAUGUUGGAGGGAAGCUCGGCGCUCCAGUCGAUCCGGGCCGGAAGGUCCUUGAAGUCAGUGGGCAGGUCCAGCUCCUCCAUGUCGCUCUUAUCCUCUGACUCCUUGAUGGGUUGACCUGAGGUGUUCAGGAAGCCUUUCUGUAAUGGAAUGAAAUACAGUUCGUACACUU